GCACUGCUGACGAGUCCGACACAAGAUGAAACAGCUGUGCAGUGC
rnacentral:hammerhead_ribozyme from 1 species